CGAGGGGAGCGCGGCUCCGCUGCAGCAGCUCCGGAGCCCGGCACGGCGCUCCGCAGAGCGUGACAGCCGAGCCUUCCGCACGGCAUCGCCACGGCGUUGCUCGCCUCGACCCCUUUAACUUUAUUUCGGGGUUUUGCGGGUUCGGGGGUUUGGUGGCCGCACGUACCCCGACACUGUAACGCGACCUCCGUUCUGUACCACGAGCAGGUAACAGAGCUAAGCACGGGGACGUGUUUAUUUGCCGCUGUAUGGAGCUACCGGCCAGCGGAGCGGGGACUCGAGUCCGUCUCCCGGUGAAAAUGGCCAAAAGACACUCGAACAAGCGAAGGGACGGAGAGAUAAAAUAGAAAACAUGUUAGCACAGACAGAUAAAUGCCCGGCCGGACCGUUCCUCCUCCGCGAACACACGCGUCUGUGAGCGCUCGCAUCCCGGCCGGUCACCAAGCACGGCCGCGGGGACACAGACCUGGGCACAACUCUGUCAGGGAUUCAUUGCCCCUCACCUCCUCACACACACUUUUUCAUGUUGCCACAUGCUCACACACUUGUGCCGCAGAAAUAAAACGUGUGGCUAAAGCCGCAGGUGCGGAGAUGGUUGGAAAGUUGUAAAAAGCACCUCGACUUGAGGGUGUCCUGCCGGGAAACCUGGCGUGUUUCAGACCCCACGGGCGAAGAGGUUUUUGCGACUCAAUUUCAAAGACAAGGCUGCAGCGUUCCCAUUGAUCCUCACGGAGCAAAAAAUAACCUUUACCCGAAACAGUGACCAGGAGGGACUGGGAAGACAGAAAGUAGGGAAGGAAUCUUUCCAGGUUAAAAUGUGGGGAACUGCCUUAUGGUUUCCAAACAAGCCAGAGCUGAGGAGGUGACCUUUCGGGGAGGGUAGGAGAAGGUGGGGGUUCAAAAUACAGAAUAGCCACAGAUUGUUGCUGAUGUUGGAUUUCCUGAGGAAAAAAAUAAAAGCCAAAACCCAAAGCACAACCCAACGCCAACCUUUCCUGUCUCGAAUCUGACAAAGUAAACAGGAUUAAUUCACCAUAUGAAAAAACAUAAACGCCGUCCUAACAAAUGCAGAAAUCACAAGAGAAAGCGGUUUUAACAGGACGCACAAUAUUAAUAGUUUGAACGUAUGAUCGUAAAAAUGAAAAACCAUUGAUAUACGCUUAAAAGCCGCCGUAUACGCUGAUUGCUCAAGCAUUAAUGAAGAAUGCCCCAGAUUAACUAUUUGCUCUUCGAGGGAUGCAGCGAUAUAACUAUCUAUUAGCACCAUUAGAUGCUUUGCUAUUUAUUUGAAAACACCCCUGCGAGUGGGUUGAGACAGAGGAGAUGAAUGUAAAAAUGAACUGCAGCUAAUUUCGCUAAAUAAUCCUCGAAACCUGAGCGCUUCGCAAGGAAGGGGGAGAUUCUCCACUGUCCUUCUCCGAGGCUUAAUGACAAUAGAAAUGCUCUGGUUUAAAAGUGAGACCGUGUUGGUUUUCCAAAUAAACAAACGCAUCCCUCCUGCCAUUUUACUGCAGAUGUAAAUUUAUUUUAAUGAGAGGGAGUGGAAGGAUUUAUUUUGCUAAAAUUGAGUUGGGGAUAGAGCCGGUGUAAAUCUUUAGGUUUCAAAAAGAGAGGAGGAAGGAGGGGGAAGCUGCUUUCCUGGCAGAAAGCUGCCUAACAGUCCUCUAAUUCUUUCUAGAUUAAAUCGCAAUAUGAAUACAGCAUCGAACAAAUACCGAGUUUCGCUCUGAACUCAGUGGAAAGCAGUUACGUCUAACAGAAUUCAAUGAAUUCCUCUUCUCCCUCAAUGUAGUAUGUGUGUGUUUUUCUCUUCCACCACACUGAAGUUCCAUGAAUAGGGAAAGUGGCUCCUAUUGUGUGCCUCUGAACUUCCAAGUCAAUGCAAUUUUUAACCACUGGCUUGUGGUACUUUGAAAAUCACCAGGGGCUGUCAGAGUUGGGUCCUCUGAAAAAUUUACAGUGCUAAAUCAGAGCAUAUGCUGUGAGAGAGGAAAAAAAAUUGCUUAAGAUUGGAGCAAGUACAGUAUCUGGCUGCCCCCUAGUGUAAGUCUCUUAUCUGCCUAAAAUUCAACUUUAAAAGAAAAGGAUCUCUUAAAGGGAAACGACUUUUGGCUCACGUAUGCAUACGAGAAUGAAACUUCUGUACAUUUUAAUCUGAUUAAUUCCUAAGGAUUUAAAAUUAAUUGGCUUGGGCACUCCUAGACCGGACUAUAAGAUUUCUGCAUCAGGGUUUCUGCGAGAGCUGUGCCGAAUAGGAUCCGAGCCUCGCUUGCUGUUGUCAGAGCAAAACACUUCUGCCGCUUAAAGUCAGAUCUACGUCUUUUGCAAUAAUACUUAAAAAAAAAAAAAAAAAAAGGAUAAAUAAUUGCCUUAAAGCCUCAGCCGAACUGCCAACCACACCUUCGGAUGUUAGAAGGCAGAAAUAUGUGAACUGCUGAGAGAGGUGGGUACUUUUUGGUAAGUAUGUUUAGAUAUGAUCUUCAGAUACAUUUAUUGUACUUUCAAAUUCUUGGGAUACUAAUUGAGCUAGCAAACAAUAUCCCAGCUGAAUGUCUCAGCUUCUUCCCUAUUUAACAGGCUUUAAUGUAGAAGUAUAUUGUAGCCAUCCUUCUACCAAACAAUGUGGCUGAGGAGUCAGCAAAAAAUGAAAAAAACAUGUUAAAACCAAAUUAUAAUUGCUGCCUUAUAUCUGACUCUUCUUCCUUUCCGCAGUUCUAAUGAACUCUUUAAAGUUUUAUUUAUUUAUUUUUUUUAUUUCUGACUGACAGAUCAAAAAUAAUUAGCAGAAUCAGAAGCAGCCGGGAAGCUUGAAAUAAUGUGUCUAAAUAUUUCAUAUUGCUACUUAUAAUACCAGCCCUUCAGCUGUAAAAAGGAACCAUUCCCUAUUUAUUCUGUGGUGGUUUAUAAAUACAGAAGGAUAGAUUCUUUUUUUUUUCCCAGGGCCUGUCUCAACGAUGCCAUAAAUAGAGAUUGAGCUAUCAGGAGGGAAGAAAAAAAAAAGAGAAAGAAUAAAAUAAAAGCAAAACCCUGGACAGGAAUAGAGACAGACAGAUAAAUAUAUAACUGCAUCUGAACAAUGUUACGUAGCACAUUAGGAGUUGGUAAAAAAAAAAUUAAAUCUAUCGCAUAUUUAUAACCUCAUAAUUAAAAUACAUUCUUAUCUCUCUCCUCUGAAAGGUUGCAGCUUUCUUGGAAGUAUUUUGAGUGCAUAUUUUAAACUCCAUGUCUCGAACUGAAUUAAGAUGAGCUGUUUUGCCCAAGAGUAAAACCUUUGUUUACAAUUUAAUAUUUAACUUUCAGCUGCCUACCCAUCGCCAUAUCAUUUUCUUUAGAUUUUACCUCUUUACAGUUGCAGGCUUUAUUUAAAAUGAUGUUAGCUCAUAUCAAAUCCUAAUUUCUUAUCAUAAGGAAAUGAGUCUAUAUAAUCCAAAACAGUCCCCCUGGUCUGAUCGAGGUAAAUUGGAUGAGAAUCUUUCACAUUCAAAGGGUUAAAGCUAAACCGAAAACUUUAAAGCAAAGAGAUACCAGCAAACAGUGAAAAAUGGUACAUCUGCUCUCUCUUGACAAGCUUGCAUUAUAUCAUAUGUAAGGAAGCCCAAAUUUUUGAAUCUAAGACCAGUUUUAGUUUUUAAUAGGAAAUAAUUACAUGGAACUUUAUUUCCAGAGAGAAUGUCCCUUCCAGCUACAGUGUUUUGCUUUGAUCUAAGUAUUAACUGGUAAUAAAAUAACCAUAUUUUGGAUCCUAAGCAUAUUGAUGCUUAGAGGAAUGUUAUGCUUUCAAUCAAAUUUUAACUUUAGAUUAUCCGAAGGUAUUCAUCCCUCUUUUGUCAGAAACCAAUUUGCUCUCUUACUCCUACAGCUACUCACAUGUGGUUUGGUACACUUUGUUAUUUUAUAGUGGAAUUUGCACUAUUGAGGUGGAAAACUUUUAGGUGGAAUGAGAUCAUGUUCCAGCCUGGCAAUUUGGGCUGUUUCUCAUACAGGUCCCCAGCCCAGCCCUUCUUUACACUUGUUGUGCCCCAGCACCAUCGCUCACUCUGAGGGCGACCGCCGCAUCAGGAUUUUGUUUUAAAUAUUCAGAUUUUUAAAAAUUUAUUAAUUUAUUUUUUUUUAAACCUGGAGAAUCAAUCAUCUGGACCCAUCCUGAACAAUUAACCUCCCCUUUAUAUUAGAGCCCCAAGUGCAGUACUUCAUAAAGACAUGAAAAGGACAUCCCAGUCAGCAGGACCCGAGCCCAGGCUUGUCACAGAGUAUAAAAGGAGAGAGAAGGGGAGUUUUUAUCUCUUUGCCCCGCCAAUUCUUAAUAGUUCUAAGUUUCAGUGUGACAAUAAAACAGUUUUGAUAACAUAGCUCAUGGGUUUCUCUGCCACAUAAAGUUUUCUUAAUAAUAAAAAAGAAGAAACUUUAUCCCUGCUAAAUUAAAAUAGGGCAGAUGUUGGAUAUGGUUCAUAUUAGCCAGCCUUUCACCCCUUUGCCCCUGGCACUAAAGUUCUGACUUUUUCUUUCUACUAUGUCUGUUUCUAACUGAAAGGUAUUAUUCCUGCCCUGGCUCUCUUCUUCUAUUUAUUUUUUCAGUGUCUAAAAUUAAACCUAUUCAUUUAGUAAUAUACAUUCUAUUUCACAUUGCUAAACCUGGCCAGAGAGGGGAAACGCUUUCCAAAAAAGUGAUGCACCACUGACCUUAAAAGAAAACAUGAAGCAGGGAAAGCUGUUCUUAAAAGGUUUAUUUCUAGAGAAUUUUGUAGCUCUGUUGACAUUAUAGGGAUAAUGACUGUAUUGCAAUGGGCUUUCAAGGCCCAAGAGGUUUAUGUUUUCUUCUGACCGUAAGUCUAAUAAAAUUUUAAAGGUGCACAAAGUCUCAUCACUUUAGAUAUUUAAAACUAGUUUGAAAAAUCUCUUGGGAAACAUAUAUUAUGGUGGAUAGCCCCACUGAGAAAGCAGGGGAUAGACAAAAAAAUACCCUGAGUCCAAACCCAAAUAAACCCCCCCCCAGUUUUUUCAUGCUAGCUCUAUGAAAAUCCUGCCUAUUAAACUCCCAAGGAUAGUGCAGCUAUUUUCUGCAGGGCUCUGCAGAUAGAAUUUAUUGUCCAUUUGGAAUGAUCAAGUUUAGGCUAAUAAAAGGGCCUCUGUAAGCAGAAAUGCCCAAGUUGAUGUUUGGCAGAGUUUUCAAUGGUGGAGUUUAUACAGGACGGGGGCUCUGCACUAUUUGAAAUAACUCCCAUCCCAGCAGCUGAAGAUGAUCUGACACACGAGCAAACCUUAGCAGGCAGUGACUGAAGGUUAAUCAGCGCUGCUUUCUGAGCUGGCUGCUUGAAAGCAGGAAAAAGUGAAAGCUGCUUUCUCUAGCCCUUCCCUAUGCUAAGGUGCUGCUAACUUUUAUGAUUUUUUUUUCCCCCUUCCUCUUUUACUAUCUGUCUUUGUGCCUGAGGGCCAGUGAAAGAACACUGCAGAUUCUAGAUUGCUUUCAGAGUUUCCCUUUGCUGAUGAUGGAUUACCAUGUCAAUUUAAACGGCAUAGGAUUAAUUUGUUUCAAUGAUUUCUCUUUAGGCUGAAUGCCAGUCUUUUUUUUUUUCUAUCUCUCUCCUUGCUCUUCAGAAAAAAUAAUAACAAUAAUAAUAAUAAAUCCUUAAACCCCCCCAAAGACUUUUGAGAUCCCAUGUUAAAAAGACAAUAAUAGAAAUAGACAAGUUAGGUGUAAUGUUGCAACACAGUUGUAGGUUUGAGUGUUUUUAUCUCGUUCUAAGGGGCUGCAGCAUACAGUCAGUCACAUUAAAAUGAAAUUGGAUCCAACGUUUAUUCAAUAAAUACUUGUCUUGUAGGUAAUCCAGAACAGAGUGCUUUUGACACAUAAGGACUUAAUUUGUCUUGGAUAACAAGUUAUUAAUAUGGCACAUUUAAACUUGCCACCUACAAUAAGGUCAUUUAGAUCUAUAAUACGACUCACGAGAGAACUUCAUAAAGCCAGAAACAAAGUUUGAGGCUGCCUCUGCGGCGCGAAGCAGACGCACGGCUCACGGUUUGCUCUUUUCAGAAGAAAGUUCAGAGCAAGUAGGAGCCACCCAAACCCAAAUGGUGUGCAUCUGCUCCUCUUUGAAAGGCAAAACGUAAAUGGAGUAAGGAGGGGAGAGAGAGGGAAAAAAAAAAAAAAAAAAAAAAAAAAAGAGGAACCCAAACACACAUUUUUGAAUGAGUAAGCUUUAAAGCUGUGCUGCGUCUGCUCGCAAACUCAUCGCAGCUUUGAAAGUGAAAAAACAACAUUUGGUUCAGAGUGGAAAUUCGCCUGCAUUUGCACCCUACCUCUUCCAUGUGCUUCGCAAUUUACUCGCUUUUAAUAAUAAGCGAGGAAGUUGGAACAUAAUCCACCCAUAAAUGUUAUUGCUGUAAUUUGACUGCUCUGUGUUUGUUCAUGCAUUAGUUGUAUAUGUAAAGCGAAGUGGGGAUGGAUGGUGGGGAUCCCCGUGCAGCACGAACAAACAGAGCUCUUUGGGAUUUCAACACCCAAACAUCCUGCAAUUGUUCUGAGUUCUGGUUUCAGACCUGUCCUAACCCUGUGGUGCCUGCAAGAGGUGCAUCAGGAGGGGAAUAUUGUGGGAAUGCUGCUCGGGACGUGUUUGGCUUCUCCGGACCUUGUCUGGGUUUAAUCACAGGCUUUGGGACAAAAUGUGCAUUAUUAAGAAGUAUAAAUAUUUUCAGAAGCAAUCAAAGGGUUGAAAGAUUGAUUCGGCAUGUAGAUUGGAUUUAAUUCGAAGCAGCUUUGUUCUAAUGAGGACUACCGGGAUACAAAGACGGCAGCCGCUUAUGGCCACCAGUUGGGAACUUCCACGCGCUGCAGCAACCUGUCAAGAAUUCCAAGGAACUGCCAGGGUAAAAUUGCCUGCAGGGAACGUUUGCUGAAGCCUGUUAAUUCCUCCUGAGGUCAGUGGGUACCGGGUGCUGGGCAGCACAGCCUCUCCUGGCCGGGCACGGUGGGCUCCGGCUGCUUCCCAAGAGACAGGGACAGCGAUGAAGAACGUGGGAUUUCCCACAGGAAUCUGGAAGACGCCCAUGUCUAAGGCAAUGGUGAGGAUUGGGCCAAAAUCCAGCCUUGAUUCCUUCACGCAAGUGACCCAGUGCUGACCCAUGGCUGCUGAUGGAUCGCAGUGAUGUGGACCUUCCUCCCUCCCUGCCUCCCUCCUCGCUGCCCUGCAUCAGAUCACCAGGAGCACCUGAGAGCACUGGAUGAACCAUCACAAGACCAUGAUUGGAAAGCAGGGGGACCAAGCACUCAAAGGUGGCUGAUGCAGCUGGUUCCCUGGCCCUGGACUCAGCUCUUGGUCAUGGCACAAGCACCAGAGGCCAGAGGUGGGGACUCUUUCUGUCUUGGCUACUCCUCAUCAGUGCUUUGAGCUGCAGGAAGCCCUGAGAACCAAGGAAACACGAGUGCACCACCAGGGAUUUGCUCCUCUCUACACCUGAAGCACAGCACAAAGUUCCACCCUUUGCUUCCGCAGCAAGUUCUUGUUACCCAAUUCCUGCUGGCAACAGAGGAAGAGGCACAAGUCAGCUCAGAAAAUGAACGACUAGAAGACUCAGUGAUACUGAACCAUGCUGGUUCCUGCUUUCAGGCUGGGGUCACAAGUUUGACUUGGAAGAAGGAACUUCCAUGCAGAGAUGUGACUGCAGUGUGAAUACUGUGCCAGGUUUUCUUUACAGAUGAAACCUGGAGUGUCCUAAAAUCCAGAAACUACUCAAUACCAGCAACUUCCACACCCCUGUGUGCUCCUGCCAUUGCUUUGAACCAGUUUAUUUAUUCAUUUGGGCUCUGAGCACUCGGAUGCAUUCCUUCUUGCUGCAGCAGCAGGGGUACAGGAAGGGGUGUUUGAAGCCAUGCAGUCAAUUCCACCCUGGAUUUCAGGAGGAGUUAUUCUUGUCUCAGGGAUGACGCAUUCAAAUAUCCCUCUACGGAUUCCAGGUGAGUUAGUCACAUUUAGAUGCUUCCAAGUAAUACACAGAAAGGUGGUGAGAAAAUGAUGAGUCUCUGCCUGGUCACAAAAAGAAAAAAAGCUCAGGAAAGUAGAUCUGAGCAAAUUAUAUGUGCUAGCCCUCAAGAUAUUCUAAAAAGACCUGGGGCCAAAGGGCUUUUGCCUUAAAAACAGUAGGGAUGCACAGUAUUUACUUUACUGACUGACCCAUCAGCUGCUCUCUGUCCCCAGAAACAGUUCAGGAAAUAACUGGAAGUAUCUGAAGACAUAAAAAGGAUAAUUAAGUUUCAUUGUGGAAAUAAGAGGGUAAUCUGUCCAGACAAAUCUAGGACCUAGUACUGAAAGCUGUAGUAUCUGAAUAUAAAAAAUGAGUAAUUUUGAAAAGAGAUGUCUAUCAGGACUGUAAAUUCAGAGAGUAAAAAAGUAGCUUUGCUUAAUAGACCAUCUCUCUCUCCAUCUCCCUCUAACUCAUUUUCUUAUUCUCUUUCUUCCCUCUGUGUUAUUGCAAAAAAAAAUGUGUGCAAAAUCUGAUAUUGAGAAUGCUUUAGCUUCAUUUCCAUCUUCUAUUCUCAAAAUGUUUUGUUCCACUGGGAAGAUUUCCCCCGGGAGAUAACCUCAGCCAUGGCUGCACGAGGCUUGUGGGGUGACUGGUUUGCAAAGCUGCAUUUUGAGGUGGCUCUGGGGCAGCCACGUCCCCACUCUGCUGAGGCUCUUAAGGAUAUUUGUGAGCUGGCAUGAGAAAUCACCUGGGACCCAGAGCAGACCACAAGUGCUUAGGACAGUGUUUUCUCUGCACCUUUUCUUGCUGAGCAGAGCUGCAGCACCAUAAACAAGUGUGAGUUUUGCCUCAUUCUCAGGUCCUGUGAGUUAUGAAAGCCCACUCCAGAUGUAAUGAAUGUAUAGAUCACUUUGACCAGAUCAUAAUCUAUUAGUAAAUGAUGCUCUCUGAAAAUGUAUAGGUGAAAUAAAGAACUUCUUGCUACUAUUGCUGUAUUGGUAUCAAGGAUUACUGUGGAGGCCAACAUGAUCCUCAGGCUUUGUGCUACUGACAUUUAAAUACAAUGCAGAAUUAACCACAGGGUUUGGUUGGUAAAUUCCCUUCUGGAUUAGGAUAUUCAGGGCUUACACUGCUGGAAACAGAACCCAAAACUAUACAAGGCUUACAUCUGCCUUGGCCUCAGCUCACUGACACCCUCAUUCAUAUUUACAGAAUUUUUCCAUUAGAUUCCUAAUUUUGGUGGUGAUAUUAAUUAGCAAAUCACACAAUAAUUUUCAGCAUGAGUAGACAGAGCAAGCCUCUAUAAUACCUAUGACUUUUCCUUGCUAUCCCUGGAGGAAGCCCAAGGGUACCAGACUAAGACCUAAGGCAAAUUGUCAGCACAGUCUGUAGGCCAUGGGAAGGUUAGGUUUAAAGAAGAUGUCACUUUGGGGACAUCUGUGUGACACAUGCUGCAGUGUCCAGACAUUGGAGACUAUGUUUUUGCUCUAAAUCUAGAGAGGAAGUCAAUAGGAAAAAAAAAAAGGGAAAGAAGCACAGGGGAAUAAAAGUACUUUUGAAAGAGAAGAAAUCUACAUUUCAAUGAAAAUCCUUUCAAGGCAUUUCAAAUAAGAGUCUGAGAGAAAUAAUUACAAAGUUUGGAGAGAAAGAACGUUAGCUUUGAUAUCUUUUUCUUCUAUGAAGCAAUUAAAAUAAGCAAUUUUUCAAAUACUAAGCAGAAAAUUACUAAUGGCUGAACCCAAAAGCUUUCAUUUCCUUCUUGGGGCCUUUAUUCUUCUAAAAAAAGACAAAAAAAAUGUGAAGGUGGUUUUCCAGAUAGAUUAAUGCAUAAAGCAGCCGCUGGUUGGAUGUCAUAAAAACUACAGCAGCAUAGAAUAGCUGAGAUUAAGAGCUAGAUUUAAAUCAUGCAACAGUCCAGUUAAUAUCAAUGUCUAAUUAAGAAAUGCAUAAGAAGUCUGUAAUGUUGAUUUGAUGGAGAAAAACUCUAAUAGGGUUUCUUUUGGAAUUUUCCAUUUCAAUUGCUGUGUAGACUUUUAAUGGAUGUCCUAUCCAGUCUUUGGUAUUAGCAGGAAUCAUCCUCAAAUUAAAACCAAGGCCUAAAAUGGAACACAGGUAGACAAAUUAGCUGGUCUGGGAAGCAGCCUGGGCAGAAUGACAAUGUGAGCUGAAGCCGAAAUUUGAGUACAAAUAAAAGAGAAUAAAAGUCUCAAAUCUGGCGUGGAAACCCUCUCUGCUUCUCGUUUGAAGCAAUCUAAAACCCUGUAAUUUGAAACAAUGCAAUGUUAACCCAUUUCCCCACCUCCCUGAGCCUGCAGAAAUCCCUGACAAUUCAUACUUAGACACCUAGACCACUAGGCAUUAUUAAUUAGUCUUUUUUAUUUAAAAGGCUUUCCAUAGUUAUGCAUAUUAGGAGUGUGUAGAGGUGGGUUCUUCUCUGCCUGUGAUGGGAUUUCGAGCACACAGGUCCCUGUCACCAUCAACGAGCACCAUUAAUCUCCCACUCCUCCCUGGGUAACUAAAUCUCUCAAACCCCUGGAGCAAAACUAAGCCUGUGGCGUCUUCUGUGUCCCAUGGAUCAUCCAAGACAUUUGGUCUCUCGAUAUGAGAGGGGAACUGGUUUUGAGCACAUGACUGAUGCCCUGAAGUUGCUAAAAGAGGAGCAGUGUAACUCUUGGUAUGCACAAAUCCAUUUAGCAAAGAGGGGGAAAGCACAGUUAAAGCAGCACUGUAUUUGUUAUCACCACUCUGCUGUUGAUCCAACAGAUCCAGAGGGAAUGAUCUCAAGGAUCCAGGAAGAUGGCACACUCAGAAGAACCCCUCUGACCAGUGCAUGCUGGGGAAUAAUUUUAAAGUUCAUUAGAACACCUUAAAAUAUAAUACAUUGGCCAUGGCAAAGCAAGGCACGUGAUUCCAUCUGUCUACAUGUCUCUUUCCAGUAUUAAAUCCAUCCAGAGACCUUUCAGAAUUAUAUCAUUAAGUCUUGCCACUUCCACAGAGAGUGGGAAAGACUGGAGGUGAAAAUCAGAGUAACAGUGAAAUUUUGGCACUUUUAUUUUUGGGUCAUUGCCAGAAAUGUCACAGUCCAAAUUCAUGCCUCAUUGCUCGGUUGACCCAUGAGGCACAGAUAUAUCAUAUUAAAGAGUGAUACCAUGGCCCUGGGGCAUGCCCCAAGGAUUUUUCACCUUGAGAUGGGAACAAGGAUGCUCUCAGCGAGGCAGCUGCCUUCUCAGUGGUACAGGAGGUCUGAUGUGAGGACACUCAGGCCACCAGAGGAGUCUGGGUUUAUUUACCAUGCUCUUGACUGUAAAACUGGGAGGUGCCAUGGGUCGGGAUGAUGCUAGAGGAUUAUUCAGGUGAAGUUCUAACAGGGUACUUUGUCUGCACAAUUUAUUAGAUUUAUGCACUACUUAGGGAAAAACAAGAGUAUGAAGCAGCCUGUCCUUUGCAAACACACACAACAGAAAAUAUCCCAAACCUUAACUUGUCCAACACACUUGAGAGCCACAAAUUCUGUUAGAGUUUUGCUAAAUGAGAGGAAUAUUCCUCCCCUCCUGUAUAAAACCAUCCUUUUAGACAUUACUGCAGUCAUGACCUCACCGCAGUUCCUGGAUUCCUUCUGAAAAGAUUAAAAUGAACUAAUACACAAAUGAUCUCAUCACAGCAUAAAGGACAUCUUACACAGGGGGGAAAAACUAAUCAGGAGAACUUCAGUGCUGCACUUGUAGUAGCAGUAGAAACAGAACUGUAACACCACUGUGGAAAAACAAACUAGAGGUACAAUGCCAGAGAGACAUUUUUCCAUCUAAUGAACCAUUUGGGUUUGUCCUACCUCAUCCUGCCUGUCUCACCUGUCAUCCUCUUAGCUGUCUCCACAUCUAUCAUCUUUCCCUUUUUCCUGCCUUUGUCUACAAUUUCCUUUGUCUAUUCUGUGCCUUUCCCACCUGUUUUAAUAUUCCUGGUAACUUUGAAUUGUGUGCACUACUAUUCUCAACGACAUCCAAAAUGCAUUUUGCAGAGUACAUUCAUACAGUCACCUUACACAAAAGUAUUCACACAUACUUCAUCUGUAGUUUAUGUCAUUCUGCAUUAAGAACACCUUUUCUAUGUUUUCAUACAGUUCUCACCCCAAGGGGUCAUGGAUGGUGACAGCUCUGAUCUACUUUGGAGCUGUUCUAUCCUCUAAGAGAAAUCAGGAAGAUGAGCUGGGAGAGAUGCUUUACUUUCUUUGGUAGGACAAUCUAUAAAUUAACAUUUAUGUAAGUGAGACUCUCACCACAUUUUUAAUGUUAUGUCACAUUUGAGGCUGGAAAACAGAAUGUCUUGGAACUAGGUGAUCUUGGAGGUCUUUUUCAACCCAAGCUUUCCUGUGCUUCCAUGAUCUUCAGAACAAGAUGGAUAGAGUGUUACUAAUGCAACCUUAUCUCUGGUGCCCACGGGUGCUCCUCAGCUCUGCCUUGAGGUGACACCGUUAAGCAAGAGGUGACAAACCGGUUUCCUUUCCCAAGGAAAUGUCACGUAACGUCCCAGGGCCCCCUUUGGUGGGUGUUGCACCCUGAUUUUCAAGGAGAGAUGUGCUGCUGUGGCCCCUUCCCAGCCUGGCAGGAGGAGCUGAAGCUGCCCAUUCACAGCAGUGACAUUUCUCAGGCAGGAAGAGAGGCAGAAGGGGGAAAUGUAGGGAGGGAUCGGGGCAGCCACCUUUGGACACUGGCAAAGAAACCUGCAGAACCCAUCCAUAGGGGAUGACUCCCAGACCAUGGUGGUACUAAGGGUGAUGGUACCUUUCUAUCCACUCAACAAGAUUUGCUGCUCCUAAAUGGGGGAGCAAAUACAUCCAAUCACAAAUGCUCUGCAGCUGAUAGACCUGCUUCAGUGAAGAGCGCCCUGAGCAGUGAUGAGUGUUGUAGGAUAUGUGCUGCAGCAUUAGGACAGCCCAAACAGCCCAAGGAGCAGCGCAGAUCAUCUGUCACCAACAAGAAAACAGCAUGUGAAAAGCUGCUGUAGCUCCUGUCCCCAGCAGCCUAACUGGAGGCACAGACUUCCCAAGGCUUGGAGCACUUGGAGAGCUCAGGAUCCUCAGUGACAUCUCUCCCCAAACGCUGCAGAUUUACCAGGUCAGCUCAGUCCAGGCCAAAGUUGCCAGGAAAGGUCCUUGGCUGUGCUCCAAGUUCAGUGCUCUAUUGAUUGGAGAGGUAUUUAUUGUAGGUCAGGAUCUUGAGCCAAGACAGCUGAAGCUGCAAGGACUAAAUUGUCUAUUCCCGACCCACAGAUAAAACAAAUGGCCAGUUUUAGCCUAAUCAUCACUUCUGCCUGAGGAGAGAGAAACUCUUUGAGGUUUAUCUCUAAUUCUGUUGGAAUUGAUUGAAAUUAUUCCAUUGACUUCAGCAAACUCUGUUUUCUGCUGGAUUAAAGGCAAUAUUUGUGCAUCAGAUUUGCUGGUGAUGUCCCACUAAUGAAGCAGUCUCUAAUGCACUACGUGAUAGGAGCAAGGAAGAUACCUCAUGAGAAGAAUUAGUUUGACUUCUGACAUUUUUCUGUACAUCUGCUGGGAGUUUCUGCCACAGAGGCCAUAGAAUCAUGGAGUCAUUAAGGUGGGAAAAGACCUCUGAGAUCAUCUGUUCAACCAUUAACCCAACACUGCCAGGUCUAGCAUUAAACCAUGUUCCUGAGCACCGUAUCCACACAUUUUUUGAGCACCUCCAGGUAUAGUGGCUGCACUUCUUCUUUGGGCAACUUGUUCCAGUGCUUGAGCACCCUCUCAGUGAUGAAAUUUUCCCUAAUAUCCAACACAAACCUCCCCUGGUGCAACUUGAGUUUCUUCCUCUUGUCCUGUGGCUUGUCACCUGGGGGAAGAGACCAACCCACACCUGGCUGCACCUCCUAUCAGGGACUUGUAGAGAGUGAUAAUGUCCCCCCUGAGACUCCUUUUCUCCAGGCUGAACACCCCUAAGCUCAGAGGAGAUGGUGAGGGGCUUGCAGAACCUCUGGUGUAACCCUACUCCUCUUUUUAGGCAAGGCAAGCAGCUUGAAAGCUUGCUCCUCACUCCAGAAACCUGUGUAAAACCUCAGGAUUCUCUGUCGUUGUGCAAAACGGGAAACGACAGGACACGGGGAGGAAGGUGAGUGGGGCAGCAAAAGUCACAAGGAAAGCAUUUUCUGAGUGGCUGGUGAGGGCCCUUACCUUGGUGCUGUCCCCAGGGCUUCUCUCUAGUGGCAGGCACUUGGCUCUCCUCCUUGUACGUGCUGUUCUUCCCCUCGAGCAUCACUUGAGAGCUGCAGCAGAAGGUUCCCUCCUUCAAGAUGGACAGAAACACCAACACAGUCUUGCCCACUCUUCAUUCCUCAUUUCUUCUGCAGAGAAUUCGUUCCAAAUUUGGCUCGUGACAAAUGCCUACACAAGGCUUGGACAAACAAGCAUUAAAAGCAGCAGUGGGAAUUUUCUUUUGGGGGUUAAAGAAUAGCUAUGAAGCAAAAGUUGCUAACUGUACCUUGAGGAGUGAUUUUUUUUUUCCUGCAAAAAAUAACAUGUUCUUCAGUGUAUAUGGCUGUACCCACCCCGACAGUGCAGGUUUUCCUGUCUGUUUGGUGAAUUCUGUGUCUGGCACCACAGAAAAGACCGUCUCAUCUGAAAUACCCUGAGUGCAUUUUCCUUGCAGGAAAAAGUUCUAACAGUCCUGCUGCAAAAUUUACACACUGACAGAGAAACAGUGCACAGGUUGUGCAAAACCCAUGAUAAACUUUUACUUCAACAAAAAGAACUUUUAAUCAAUCCUGUUUGAGAGGAAUGGAAGGGGCCAUAGGCAUAUAGACCUUAGAGAAAUGUAAGUUUUUCAUAAAUGGAUACUCAGAAAUAUGGAUAAUUUCAGCAGUAUUUGAGAAUUUCACUGCUGGAUCAAUUUAGCAUGAAGUUCUCAAUUAUUCUUUCCUGGAAGUCAUCCCAAACAAGAAUGCCCUGAUAUACUGAAUUAAUGAUAAAAGUGGAUUGUGGCUAGGGUUUUCCAUGAGAACUUUGUCCUGGAAAAUAUCAAACAAGCAAAAAGGUUUGGAUUGAAUAAUGAAGUUUCCAUGAGGCUUCUCCGCUGCAAAAAAAAAGAUGUUAAAGAUUUUUAAAAAUCAUUGCAAGUGUCCCAAUAAUAUUAUUCUAAGUGAAUGUAUAUUUGCUUUGAAAUAUUUUUGAUUUUAAUUUUUAAUUUAUAAGUGAAAGUAAAAAAAUGAAAUAUUUUGAAACUACUGAAGCAAAUGGCUCAGUUAGAUUUUUCACUUUUUAGCAGCUUAUUGGUUAGCCACAGAAUUAGCUGAAAGAAUAUGAAAUCCUGAAAACUCCCAAGGGACAGAAGAAAGCACUUCCCUGUCAGCUAUAAAAUGAGUGAAAAUUAUAAUGACAUUUUCAUUUAUCACAGAGAUUUACUAAAACACCCACAUUUUUCACAGAAGUUGCAAAGACUUGAACUCGGACACACUUUUUGUUUCUCCCCAGGUGUGAUGCUUAAUGAUAAUGUUUUUACUAGACCUGGUCACACACCCUCUCAGAUAAAGAGCUGGAGGUAUUCCAGCCUCUACAGGGGUAAUAAUCUCUGCUUCAUAUGCUAGCACAAGAAGGAGGGCAGGAAGCACAGGCAGGAAAUUUCACCAUUUUAUUUCAAACGAAUGCAUUUAAACAGGAAAUGAUAAUUAAAUAAUUCAGAAGUGAGCUAUCCAAGGGCAAAGAGCCCCAGAUGCCGUGAGGGGUUAAGCUUUGUAGGGCGGAGAGGGAAGGCCUGUGUAGCUUCACUGUGCUAAUGGUGUGGGGAAAGAACUUCUGAGAUGCCUGCUCAAUUUGUCAGGAUUUUAUCUUCUGAACUAUUACCUCCAGCUUUCCCCAGAACACCCUUCCCAGCCCUUUUAUCUGCGAGCUAUCUUCGAGUUAACUGUCUGCCUAUUGCCUUGGCUGAACCACACUAAUAGUCAGCUAAUUACACAUGAACACUCUAAUUUGCUUUGUCUUCCUCAAAAAAAGUUCACGCUUGUGCAGGCACGCACACACGAGUGCACUUCUGCCCGUGCCACGAAGCUGCACCAGCUGGAUUGGGAUGAAAUUUGUUCCAUUUGUUUCCUGCCCCCUCUGAUGCUUUCCCCUCACCAGGCCACCACCAACGCUUGUCAUUCCUGAUUUGCAACAUCACCUGUUGCUCCAGCACCAGGCUCCUGCAGAGCAGAAACUGGAGCAAAGAAGAGAAAUACGUGUUUGUCAUUGAACUGAGCUGAGAAGAAGGAAGAGGAGAAUGAUAAGAUCAUAGCCUGCAGCACUUUGUUUAUGAGAACAUCCUUCCAGUGAUAUAUGUCUGCACCAGGUGAAAGUAUUGUGUCACCCCUAACAUAUUUUAAAUGCCAGGGCUGUCAUGCAAGAAGACAAUGAUGAACAAGUUUAAACAGAAUAUGGUUUUGUAGCCAUGUACAGAGUUACCCUUUGAAGGUUUGCACUGGUAGUGCUUCUUAGCAAAAUGUUUCCAAGCUGUGUUAUAUUCCCCUACAGAACACCUCUCACACAGAAUUUAAACUAAAUGGAGACAUUUCUACUGCAGGCAAACUGAUGGGGGUGUACAUAAAGAAGUGCAUUUCCUCAGGCAGGAUUUUCAGGCCAUUUCACACGUCCUCCCUGCCACACUACCCAAGUUUGUCAUAACUCCUUGGAUAGGAGCCCUGCAAAUGGGCAAAGAAAGCUCUGUCUGCACCAUGCUCUGAGGAGCAGGGACUGGCCCAGGUGGAGGUUUACUCAGACUAACUCUAGCAUGCUCCUGUGGAGAGAAUUCCUGUUAGCUGCUGCUGCAGCUCCCAGACCACAUCACCUGCUUUAAUUCCACACUAAAGAAUUCCGUCUGCGUGCUCCAAGGCUGCCUGGCCUGGUGGGAUGUGGUAAGCAGGGUUAUAUUUGGGGGAUUCUCUUCAAAAGUGCACUCCUGGGCCAAAGUGAAAGGCUAAUGCAGGAGCACCUUUCCUCAGCAGGCAGAUAUGCCCAGAGCUAUCAUCACAUGGCAGUUUGCUUCCCAGAUAUUUAUCUGGAGCUCGACUGCACGAACACCAUCCCCGCGUUCUAACGCUGUUGCACAACACCACUCCUUUGGCUCAGACUGACAGCUCAAAUUGAGCCUUGGGAAAGCCAACAUCCAGCACACAACAUUGAGAAUGGGCAUGACCACAUCCACCUUGGAUUCAGGUGAAAGAGCUUUAGCUCUGUGUGUCACGUGGAAAUGGAGGCAGCCGUGACACCGCGGAGUCGUGAGGAAGAGUAAGGUCAGAGCCACUCCAUGACCCAUCCAUGACAGCAUUAAUAACUUCACAAGAGGGAGGAAAGGGAGCCUCUGAUUGCCUGAAAAAACCUUCCAGGAGGUAGGAUUUCUUAAGUACUUAUUAAGGUCCUGUGUGGGCUUGUGUAACGCGCUCAGCAUCUGCCCCUCAGUUUUCCUUUCUGUAAAAUGGGCAUACCUUCUUUUCCACAAGGUUAUUAGGAGGAUUUGCCAAUUAAGGUUCAUCAUAAAUGAAAGUGUCUGGCAAACAGUAUUUAAUCACCUGGCCAAAAAUGGUCUCCAACUUCUUUGGGCAGAAUGUGAGUUUUUAUAGGGACUAGUCACAGUGUCCAGAAGGCUAUGGGAUCACAGGCUGCAUCUUUAAGACAGAGUUUACUUCUGAAUCAGUAAGUGUACUAGACAAAGCAGCCAUUAUUUAUGCAUUCCUGCAUACAUGGCAAGGUGAAAAUAAUAGAAUAAACAUCAUAUACUUCAUUAUGAUAUCGGUUUACACUUCCAGGGUACACAAAAAGAGGCCAUUUCAUCAAGCUAAUUGCCUGAAAGUAAAAGAGAGAGAACUUUAGCUAUUAGUCUAUUAUGGGGCUUUUUUCUUAAUCACAAAUAGGGGCCGUGUGUCCCCAGGGGGAUGUGUAUUCUAAUUUACAAUUGAACUACAGAUCAGAGCAAUCAAUCUUGUGCAGCACUUUUACAGUGUAAUUGCUGCAACAUAACAAAUAAAAAA